rnacentral:rRNA from 1 species
GCGCACCAGGCGCGAAACUUCACAAUGUGCGAAAGCACGAUGAGGGAAUCCCAAGUGCUUGCUCGUAAGAGUAAGCUGUUUCUCUGUCUAAAACGCAGAGAGAGUAAGGGCUGGGUAAGACGGGUGCCAGCCGCCGCGGUAAUACCUGCAGCUCGAGUGGUGGCCGCUAUUAUUGGGCCUAAAACGUCCGUAGCCGGUUUAUUAAAUGCCUGGGUAAAUCGGACCGCUUAACGGUUCGAAUUCCGGGUAGACUGAUAAACUUGAGACCGGGAGAAGCUAGAGGUACUCCUGGGGUAGAGGUGAAAUUCUGUAAUCCUAGGGGGACCACCAGUGGCGAAGGCGUCUAGCUAGAACGGGUCUGACGGUGAGGGACGAAGCCCUGGGGCGCAAACGGGGAUUAGAUACCCGUGUAGU